AUGAGAGAAGCCACCCGAUCGGAGGAGAACUGAGAAAGACAGGCUGUCUUUGGGUUCGCAGGGAGAGGCAUAUAUAAAUUGGCGCCAAGAGCAGACGACAGUAUAAUCAUCUUCUCAACGCAUAUCUCAACUUCCUGAGAUCAUAUCGAGAAAAAAACCAACGAUUUGCCACAAUGAAUAAACGAUUGAAGGAAGGAGGUGGAAGAAAAUGAGAAAACAAGUUUACACUCACCCACGCACACUCAUUUUGUUGGUAAUCGAACGAACGAGAAACUAAGAAACAGUAACCAAUUUUCGGAUUAGAAUCGACUGAAGAAACGGAUUAUGGAUUUGAAAAGAGAAACUCGUUUUUUGGAGGUAGUUCAGUUUAGGUAUGACGAUGUGAAUUAAGGCAUUAGAUGAAAAAAAAUCAGAAAGUAACUGGAGAGGUAAAGGUAUGGAAUUAAAGAAUUGCUUUAUCGAAACAGUUCAGAAUUUUCGAGAAACCCUUUGAGGACAAACAUGGUUUUCAAAAACCAAUGACAAAUAUGCAUUCUGAAAGUAACCACAAUUCUUAGAAGGCUUUUGUAAGAUUUUCAAUAGAUUGAGUGAAUGACAUGCCACCCACUAGCAUCUUUUAAUUGAGAUAAUAUAAGACGAGAAAACGAAAUUCCGAUAAAUAUAGAAAUUGAAAUUUCGGAUGAACAUAAAUGAAAUGAGUCAAAUGGAAGAAGUGAAAAGAACGAGAGAAUAAAGAAAAGAUGAAUUCGUAAUUUCGGGUAAGUCGCCGCCUUUUGCCCUCUCCUUCAUCUUAUUCUAACCUGACGAAGAACAAGGUCAAUACCCCAUUCUUUUCAAUGUCCCUUUAAUACCAUUUAACAGUGAUGGCGCACUUACGGAAGAACACAUCUCGAGAAAUGGGUGCCAGAUAACAUCUCACUUAUCACGUUUGUGGCUGGAGUAAAUACGGAUUAGGUUAAGGGUUAUAAUUACACAAAUAUAAUUAACUAGGUAAUUACCUUAAGGCCCCAUUAGAACAGUGUCUUCAAGGGAAACUUGUAUUAAAAGGGAAAAAUGUAGGAAAUGACUUUGAAUUAUUUUUUAAAUUUUAAAGCUGUGUUUGGUAUCUAGAAAUCGGUAAUUUUAGGACAGUGAUGUCACAAGCGUACUUGUUUGCAACCAAGCUCAAGAAAUAAAACGAUUUAUACGCUGAAAUUGUUCAUAAAAGUUUAUAAAAUCAAUUAAAAUGUUUAUUUUGUGUAAGUAGUUAGAAAAGGGUUUUGUGUAGUGAAAGCAAUAAAAGUGCAAGAAGCACGAAGGCCAUAGACAUGAGAAUCAGGAAAGGAAGUCACCAAUUUUCUUGUCACGUCAGAAUUCAUGUGAAUUACCACUAUAACUUUUUUAUUCGCAAUUUCAAUUUGACAUUUAAGAAAAAUGUUGUUUAAGUUAGUUUCAAGUUGAAUUUUUUGGAAUUUUUUGGGUAAAAGUGUCAUUUCACUUGUGUUUUCAGAAAGGGCACAAUAUACAGAACCCAUAUAUGAGCGGAACCUUUAACAAAGAUUUUUGAGAGUUCUAACUAAUCUCCUAACUAAAUAAAUGUUUUAAAAGUUUCAAAAAGGAAAGAAAAUUUAUCGUUAAAAAAUAGUAGUAAUGUAAUUAAAUAUAUUACUGUGCUCCAUAUUGCCAAUUUUAUGUUUCAAAAGUAGAAUAAAUGUGGUAUCGAAAUGGUAAGUUCAAAAACCGGACAAAAUCUCAUCAAAAUGAGAAAACAACCACACCCUCGUAAUAUACUGUCCACACUGACCUACUGCACGCCCGAACCUAAUAAAAUUCAAAUGACUUGUCAACUUUUACGAGAGAAGAUUCAACACAUCUCAAGUUUCAUAUUGUUUCGACGCAACACAAAAAAAGAUAGAAAUAUGAGACGUCUUUGGGUGCACGGGGAAAAAAGUUUGACAGCUGUUGUGGUGAGUACACUUUAAAGGGAAACAACCAAACAGAAAAACUAGACUGAUAAGCAUCUAAAUCGGUGUCCAGGGAUCUAUUUGUCUAUUUGGCAGACUAACACACAGUUUGCACGGAUUCUGUGAAAAACGAGGAAAAAUUAGAAAAUUAGUUUACUUAUAGAAAUAAAACUUAUUUAUGUAUGUUUUGGAAUAACAAUUUGAUCAAAACUUAAAAUUCGAAAAGCUUCUCCACACUAUAGCCAACUGGAGCAAGGAAAUAUUUUCUAAACGUUGCCUCCUUUCUUAAUUAGUGCCUUGUUGUUUCUAUUAUGUGAAUGGAUUUAAUUUUCUUGUUAUAUUUCUUCUCUCACAAGUACCAGAUGUGACUGAGCUUCACCAAAAAAAUUUCAUGAGGGCCAUAGUAACAGUGAUUAAAGUAUUAAAAACGAAAACAAAGCUAGAAGCGAAUUUCAACAGAUUGCAACUAGAAACUGCAAAGUGAGACAAUAGGAAAAGUGUGAUUCUUUUGUUGUUUUUGUUACAACUGACUGGGCGACUCACAAAGAUUGAUGGCUUCUGGCACAACUCGGUUUUAUGAGUUUUCAUUUGAGAAACACGCUGUUGCAAUGAAAGAGGACAACUCAAGAAAAUGGGAAGACAAUGGGAUGAGUAACACCUCGGAAAUCGAGAAGGCUUUCAUUUUUGUUUUUGAAAGUAUUGAGCACAAACUUUGGAAACAAUUUGGAAAAGAUUCAGCUCAGAUUUAAGUGUCAUAGUUUCAAAGAACGAAAAGAGUAAUGUCAAGAAAAAAGUUCACCAAAUCAGAUUGACCGGUUGCAGACCACGGGAUGGUGGCAGUUUCAGCUGGAGUACCAUGGUUGCAAAUGCAAAUGCAGCCUCAGGAUCAGUGUUGAAGCUGGGGCGACGUGAACUACGACGAUGAAACUCCAGCAUUUCAGUCUUCUCAAUAUUCACAAUCUUCCCAUCUUCAUAGCAUUCUCAAAUAUUCGGAAACCCGCGUGGCUUAUUGAAUAAAAGAAGACGAUGAACGAGAAAAAGAAUCUUCUAUGACGGAACUCACAGAAGAACGGUACAUUAGGGAUCUUUCCACAUUUGUCAAUAGUUCUCGUGGAGAUGUUUGGACAUUGAACAAGACUCCAUACGGAAUCACGGCCAAACAAUCAGCUAUCUGCCGUUUUGAUGAUCAAGUUAUAAAUCGCCAAGCCCAAUUUCAAUUUAAUCGAAAAUUGGCUCGACUCGAGUUAUGGUUUAUGUUUUAUUGUAGGAAUGGCCGACCACUUCGAGUUCGUCAGAUAGCCGAAAUACUUGGCACAAAGCCAGAGGAAAACGAUGCUAUUGUUAUCGAGUUGUCCACACAUCCAACUCUACAAAUCCCUUACUACAAAUUGUAUAAAAAUCCGGAUGAUGCUUCUGAUUUGAUUGGAGAAAUACCAAUUAGAGAUAAUUAUAUAUUAAGAUGGAUAAACGCAUUUGGUGCUGAAGCUGGUUUGGGAACCAAGUGCAAUAAGGAAACCUAUUCUGAAUGCAACUCAUCUUGUAAUCAAUCAACAACAAGUACUGAAGACUCUUAGUU
rnacentral:misc_RNA from 1 species